CCAGAGGUGCAUUUUUCUUAUUUCCAUAUAGUAAAGUUGAGCUUUUACAGUGCAUAAUGUGACAUUUGGAAUGCUUAUCAACUGCAUGUAAACAUUAAUAACCUGCACUUUUUUGUCUUAAGGUUUGUUGAGCUGUUUUGUUCACUGUACUUUAACUGUGAUAUGGAAAAGACUGCAUUCUCUGUGCUGUUACUAAUUAGGAAAGAGAAUUGCUUUGAUUUUGUCUCUUGUUUACUAUAGCUUCUUAAAGUUAAGCCUUGUACUACAGGUUGUUGGAGUACUCCUAGAUCACUGUUUCAUAGUAGCCAGCAAUAAGUAGUGCAAGUCAACAAAAACACAGCAAACUUAGGCAAAGUGUCCUUUCUUUGAGAUGCGAGUUCUUUCAUGAGGUUUUCUUUAGGGCCAGAGUUACCUAAAGUGAAGCCUUUCUUAUCUAUAGACUUCAGAUUCUGCUUGGAAUCCCACCGGCUCAAGAAGCACAUGUAUUGUGCAAUUAAUUGUCUUUACACUAAAACAGUUUAAUACAAUCUAACUACGAUUUUGAAACCAGUGUCUGAUUUAUGGUCAGUGGGUUUAAAAAGAAAUCCACAUGCAGAUCUUUUAAGACUUAAAAAGUGAUCAUAGAAAAGACUAAGUGACUGUAAAGAUGCUCUUUUUUUAAGCAUCUCACUUUACCUCCCCAAGCACCCUCCCAAACCUUGUCUUCCCUCUUCUGUUGCAUCCUUUCCCUACCCUUCCCUCCCAGGUGCUCGGUACUUUACCUAGUUUCUAUAUAUCAGUGUUUUAUGUUGGAAUUUUUCCUUGUUUUUAUUUUACUAGUUGGUAAACCCUGUUUAUGCUGAAACAAAUAAGGAAAUGGUAUAUUUGACCAUAUGUGUUAUUCAUAGAAGACAGUAUGAUCAAAUGUGCCAAAAACAAGCAAACAAAACUUAAUUCCUGAGAAGUAUGCCUUAUUUUUAUUGAUCUGCUUUGUCUUACAAUUAAGGUCCAAGAGCUUGGUUAAACUGUAUUAUUUGCCUAAGUAUAAAAGAAAACUUGAACUGCAUUGCAAUAUUGACGUUCUUUAAAAUGAGAGACACUGUCAAGUAAUUUAAUCCAGAGAUCAGCCACCAGAUUUGAAAUGCUUAUGUAUGUGUGUGUGUUUGGAGUUGUUUUUUUCUUUUAAAUCACCAAAUUUUUUUUAAGCUACUUUUUAUUUGUGCCUCCUAUUUAUCAUGCUGAUGUUAGAAGCAGCAGUCAUCCAGCCACAGAGGGAGCUAAAGUUAACUAACCAGAACUGUAGAAAUCAUUAUACAUGCCUUUGACAACAAAGGAAGUUCAUAAGAAAAGCCAUGUCGGCUUUUCCUCUACUAGAUACAGAUUGGAGGUAGAUGAAUAUUUGCCAAAUGGAAAAAAAGACAAUGCUAGUCAGAAAAGACAAACUGUUUUCCAGCUUCUCAAAAAGCCAUGGAGAGUAGAAACCAAAACCAACAGGGAAAUAAAAAACCUUGAAAGUCUCACUUUCUAGUUGUCCCAUGCAGGGGUUGAAAUUUGAUUCCAAGCGGAAAGUAUAUUAUGUUUUUUCAGGCCUUCACAUCUAGAGAGAUGGAUAACUUCCAAUUUGAUUUUUCAGGUAAUAGAGAAAGCUGCUAGUAAUUUUAACCCCUGCCUAAAGAAGACAUAUACUUCAUUUGGGAGCAAAUACUUAUUGCCUUGAAAAGUAGCACUGUAAUAGCCUAUGAUAAUUAGUUGUAGAAUAACCUUUAUCCCUUUCAAACUAUGCAAAUUAUUAAAUAAGUGUAAAUUAGGAUUCAAUUAAAGAUAGUUGAUUAUAUUGCAAUCAGAUGGCAUUCACAAACUUAACUGGAGCAUAUACAAAUAUAUUAGUCUAAGUUUUGUAUGCUAACAGAAAGAUAUAAUUUAGCUACCUAUUCUAAAAAUGGUGAAUAUUAUUAAUAUUGUAUAAUAGGAGUGGGAAGACUGCCUCCUUUUUUGAAGAGAGAGAUUAAGGAUUUUUAUAAUUGUUUUUCAUCAAAUUUUAAUAUUUUUGUCAAAUUUUUAGGUAUUUAAUUUGUAAAACAGUUUGCUUUGUACUGGCAUACAGAAAAUAGGGUAUUGAUUUUAAACUUUUUGAAGCCAAGUG
rnacentral:lncRNA from 1 species